AUACUUACCUGGCAGGGGAGAUAUGAUGAUCACGAAGGUGGUUUUCCCAGGGCAAGGCUUAUCCAUUGCACUCCGGAUGUGCUGACCCCUGCAAUUUCCCCAAAUGUGGGAAACUCGACUGCAUAAUUUGUAGUAGUGAGGGACUGCAUUUGUGCUUUCCCCUG
rnacentral:snRNA from 1 species